rnacentral:miRNA from 1 species
UGGAGCCAGCCUGGUCUACAUAGCAACAUCUAGGCCAACCUGUCUCAAAAGCAAAACAGCAGUCUUACUACGUAGCCCUAGAUGGUCUAGAACUCCCUAU